CCCACUCAGCCUCCCACAAAGGAAUCCUCAGAAAGAAUUGUCUGAUGUGUCUUCAACUGCCGCUAAAGCUGCCGCUGCAAACAAAUGCUGGCUUUUCUACACAAGUCCUGAUUGCCAAAGUGGCUACAGGGGUGCUGACCACGCCCUCUCAAUUAGUUAGGUAUUCGAAUCACCUGAUGAGAGAGAGCAAUUGAAACUACCUCUGCUGACAGCUGAACUGCAUCAGUUUAGCGACCCCUACUGCCUUUAAUGCCAUUUGCAAGAAUCCACCACGCCCGAAGAAAAAUCACUAGGGGGUUUCUCUCCGCUCUGUCAAUCAUCCGGUUACGCGCUGCGCAGCGCUGCAGAACCUGUGCACACUCACUCUCUUGGUCAAGACCAAGCUCAGGUCUUUGCAAUGAGGAGCUAGCAGCAGAAGCGUUUGAAAACACAGUGGAAGAGAAACGCCUAGCAUCCAAAAAACAGCCAACCUUCUUUGCCAGUAACUGCAUAUACGACAAAGACCCCGAGCAAAACUGAGCUAAAAGGAACGAAGCAGAUCGAGCAGAGAGAAAACCUGUGUAAACAUCGGAUCAGCGCUCCACAGAAGAGAGAGCUGUGAGAACUAAAGGAUUAACAAACGAUGUGUUCUGCUUGACCGGCUGCUUUGUGGUAGUCUUGCCUUUGGGGAGGCUGUUGAUGGCCCUGUCUGGGAUAGAGAGAGUUGUCUCUCUGAUGGUGGGGAUGUGGUGUCAAGACCAGGUCGUCUCCAAAACCCUUCACUUCACUCAAACACUUCAGGUCAACUGCAGAGCUGGAGUCCUUCUAUAAUAACAUCCUGAUGUACUGUAUGCCGGCAAGCGCUUUAGCAUCAGCCUUUCAGUCUAUGAAGCCAGAAUCUUACAUGCUAGCUCCGUCUACAACCACCAUGUCCACAGACCACCCAAAAGAAGACCUGAUGGCUCUUAUAUUAAAAAGGAUAAGACCACAGACCAGACACUUCCCCAGAGGUGAUGCCUUGGAUUAGCAUCCAGAUGAAUUAGGAAAAAAAUACUGCAACUAUGUUUAAACAUUAAAUUUGUAGAUCCAAAUACAUAAAUCUACCGGAGUAUUAUAAAUUUUCAACACACCUACUUUGUGUUUUAUUCUUGUGUAAAUUAAAG